rnacentral:rRNA from 1 species
CAGCCGCCGCGGUAAUACGUAGGUGGCAAGCGUUGUCCGGAAUUAUUGGGCGUAAAGGGCUCGCAGGCGGUUUCUUAAGUCUGAUGUGAAAGCCCCCGGCUCAACCGGGGAGGGUCAUUGGAAACUGGGAAACUUGAGUGCAGAAGAGGAGAGUGGAACUCCACGUGUAGCGGUGAAAUGCGUAGAGAUGUGGAGGAACACCAGUGGCGAAGGCGACUCUCUGGUCUGUAACUGACGCUGAGGAGCGAAAGCGUGGGGAGCGAACAGGAUUAGAUACCCGCGUAGUCCCUGUCUCUUAUAC